rnacentral:rRNA from 1 species
UUAAAGUAGUAAGGGCGCAGGGUGGAUGCCUUGGCACUAAGAGCCGAUGAAAGACGUGAUAAGCUGCGAAAAGCUUCGGGGAGGAGCACAUAUCCAAUGAUCCGGAGAUAUCUGAAUGGGGAAACCCGGCAGAGGAAACCUCUGUCAGCGUGCAGUGAAUACAUAGCUGUACGUGGGGAACCCGGGGAACUGAAACAUCUAAGUACCCGGAGGAAGAGAAAGAAAAUUUAUCGAUUUCCAAAGUAGCGGCGAGCGAAAUGGAAAGAGCCCAAACCGUGAUGCGUGCAUUGCGGGGUUCGGACUGCGUUGUGGCAGACGUAAGAUAGGAGAACGGACUGGGAAGUCCGGCCGGAGAGAGUGAAAGCCUCGUAUCCGAAAUCCCAAGUCGCCUAGCAGGAUCCAGAGUAGGACGAGACACGAGAAACCUUGUCUGAACGAGCGGGGACCACCCCGUAAGGCUAAAUACUUCUUAGUGACCGAUAGCGCAUAGUACUGUGAAGGAAAGGUGAAAAGUACCCCGGGAGGGGAGUGAAAGAGAACCUGAAACCCUGUGUCUACAAGCUGUGGGACCUCUUUAUAUGAGGGACUGCGUACUUUUUGUAGAACGGUCCGGCGAGUUGUGCGUACUGGCGAGGUUAAGGACUUAAGGUCCGGAGCCGAAGUGAAAGCAAGCGUUAAUAGCGCGUCAAGUCAGUGAGUGCAGACCCGAAACCGGGUGACCUAUCCAUGUCCAGGUUGAAGCUUCCGUAAGAGGAAGUGGAGGACCGAACCCACAUCCGUUGAAAAGGGUGGGGAUGAGGUGUGGAUAGCGGAGAAAUUCCAAUCGAACCCGGAGAUAGCUGGUUCUCCUCGAAAUAGCUUUAGGGCUAGCCUCAUGAGAGUCUUAUGGAGGUAGAGCACUGAAUUGCCUAGGGGGCGUCAAAGCUUACCAAAGCAUAUCAAACUCCGAAUGCCAUCAAGAUGAUUCAUGGGAGUCAGACCAUACGAGAUAAGUUGGAUGGUCAAAAGGGAAAGAGCCCAGACCUACAGCUAAGGUCCCAAAGUACGUGUUAAGUGGAAAAGGAUGUGGGGAUUCUAAGACAACUAGGACGUUGGCUUAGAAGCAGCCAUUCAUUGAAAGAGUGCGUAAUAGCUCACUAGUCGAGAGUCCCUGCGCCGAAAAUGUCCGGGGCUGAAACACGACACCGAAGCUUAGGAAUGUGUAAACAUUGGUAGAGGAGCAUUGCUAGCGGGAUGAAGCCAUACCGUAAGGAGUGGUGGACUGCUAGGAAGAGAGAAUGCCGGAAUGAGUAGCGAGAUGAAGGUGAGAAUCCUUCAGGCCGAAUAUCUAAGGUUUCCAGAGUAAAGCUGAUCUGCUCUGGGUAAGUCGGGACCUAAGGCGAGGUCGAAAGACGUAGUCGAUGGAUAACAGGUUGAAAUUCCUGUACCGCAUAUAAACAGAACUGUGGGGACACAGACAGGGAAUGGAAUCCGGGAAUGGAGAUCCCGGUGCAAGCGAGGUAGGAGUGCUGUUGGCAAAUCCGCAGCACGAUCUGAAGACGUGACGCGUACCGAACAUAAGUAGGGAAGUCCAGGCCCCUGGCUGUCAAGAAAAGCCGCUAUUGUUUUAUAUGUGCCCGUACCGCAAACCGACACAGGUGGAUGAGGAGAGAAUCCUAAGGCCGACGGGAGAAGUAUUGUUAAGGAACUCGGCAAAAUGACUCCGUAACUUCGGGAGAAGGAGUGCCAUGAGAGUGGCCGCAGAGAAAUGGCCCAAGCAACUGUUUAGCAAAAACACAGGUCUAUGCAAAACCGCAAGGUGAAGUAUAUGGGCUGACGCCUGCCCGGUGCUGGAAGGUUAAGGGGAGAGGUUAGCGCAAGCGAAGCUUUGAACUUAAGCCCCAGUAAACGGCGGCCGUAACUAUAACGGUCCUAAGGUAGCGAAAUUCCUUGUCGGGUAAGUUCC